rnacentral:lncRNA from 1 species
UCUCUCCAUGCAGUGAAGGUCAGGAGACAAGAAUGGGAUGGCACUGAUGUUUUGAACCUGAACCUGUAGCCAAAUGGAAUUGCUACUUUCAGACCUGACUGCUGCUCAAGCCCAACCCAAAGUCAUCUCGUUGCAUAAACCCCAAACCCAGCCGCUUCUGCCCUACUCCUCAGCAGGGUGUGUCCUGGGGCUGCAAGGAGGGUCACCGGUGAAAAAUGGGUGAGAGGCUUUUCCCACCAACCCUGAAAAUGGACGUGCGUGCACACGCGCACGUGCGCGCGAACACACACACACACACACACACACACACACACACACACACGCCCCUGCAUCUCUCCCAUUUCCCUCAUCUUCCCUAGGACCCUCUCAUGGCCUCAGCAGACCCCCUCAGACACCCAGCAUCCUCCCUUCAGAUGCCUGUCCUGGUGUAAUGGCUUGUGACACUUUCCUCCUUUGAGUGCUGCUUAGAAACAUGUCAUUGUCUGUUUCCUUUCGUGGUAUCCCAGGAAGCUAAGCUAGCCACAGCCAGGGCAGGGCUGUGUGCAGG